AAUUUAAAGUCUAACCUGCCCACUGAAAAUUUUUGAAGGGCCGCAGUAUUUUGACUGUGCAAAGGUAGCAUAAUCAUUUGUCUUUUAAUUAAAGGCUGGAAUGAAUGGUUGGAUGAAAUAUUAACUGUCUCAUUUUUAAAAAUAUAAAAAUUUAUCUUUUUAGUCAAAAGACUGAAAUAAAUUUAAAAGACGAGAAGACCCUAUAGAUCUUUAUAAAUUUUAUUUAUAUAAAAAUUAGAUUAAAAAUAAUUAUAUAAAAUAAAUUUAUUUUAUUGGGGUGAUAGGAAAAUUUAAUAAACUUUUUUUAAUUUAAAACAAUGAUUUUUGAGUAUUUGAUCCAAUAUUAUUGAUUAAAAAUUUAAGUUACCUUAGGGAUAACAGCGUAAUUUUUUUUGAGAGUUCUUAUCGAAAAAAAAGUUUGCGACC
rnacentral:rRNA from 1 species